UACGUAGGUGGCAAGCGUUAUCCGGAUUUACUGGGUGUAAAGGGCGCGUAGGCGGGGACGCAAGUCAGAUGUGAAAACCACGGGCUCAACCUGUGGCCUGCAUUUGAAACUGUGUUUCUUGAGUACUGGAGAGGCAGACGGAAUUCCUAGUGUAGCGGUGAAAUGCGUAGAUAUUAGGAGGAACACCAGUGGCGAAGGCGGUCUGCUGGACAGCAACUGACGCUGAGGCGCGAAAGCGUGGGGAGCAAACAGG
rnacentral:rRNA from 1 species